GAAUCAAAGGGGCAUCUUCACUUCCGCGGGCCGGGGCCGCCGCUCGCCCCUCCGCCGGCCUUGGAGGGCGUUAGGGGGCGCCCCUUCCGCGGGCAGCGGAUGGCAGCCCAGCGCCUUUGCGGGCACCGCCUGGACAGCCUGCGCGGAGGUCUUUCUUUUAGUCCUCUGGGAAUAAUGUGAUGCUAGACAUGCUGGACUGAGAAAGGAAAAAAAAAGCAAAACACAAAAGCAAAAAAAAAAAAAAAAACCCAUUUGGGUCAAUGAAGGAGCGUCAGGCCGCAGCGACGGGGGAGGGGAGCGACUUAAGCAAAGUCCACUGCCUCAAAAAUGCACGUUGGUCUGUGGGAGGUGCAGGUGAGAAGCCAGAACCCAGGCGGAGAAGGGACCCCUUGCGCGUGUCACCUAAGGUUUGGCAAGCCUUGACUACGGUUACUUCUGAGUCACUCUGGUGUCCGUGUCUCAACAGCCAUCAGAACCUGGGACGGCUGCUCCGAGGCAGGAGUUUCCUAUACAACCUGUGCAGAGACAUCCCACGUGGCCCCGGUCUUGCUGAGCAACUGUCGGGUCUCCUGGUGGCCCGCGGGGAAGCAGGACCAAGCUUUCGGAGCCAACCACACAUCCCAUCCAGCUCCACAUUGUGAUGUCACCUUGGAGCCUGAAACGAGCCAUGGUGGGAAUGAUGGACACCAUGAAAACCGGCCAACACUACAAAGCGGGACUGUUUUCCUCAGGGAGAGCCGGUGGCUAAACAUUUGCCAGCACAUCCCUGCCUAAGCUCCAGGUACCUGGGAAUUACAAAUUGCAGCUUUCCUCCUCUUGAGCACAAACACAAAGCUUCACCAGGAAAACAUCAGGCACCUUUCUCCCUGCCGGGCAGACUACUCUUUAGUGGGGGAGCCCAUAGAAUGGGGACAAAAUGAAAUCAUGACCAAGGUCUGUGCUGAGUAGGGAAGAGGGUGGCGUGAGACAAGGCGAGAGGCAGGCAGGACGGAGAACACAGCCCUGGAGUAGAGAUUCGUAUGUUGGUGAGACAAAGUUAUAGGAGAGCUUUUAGGAGAGGGAUGCCUUUGGGUACUUUAUAAGGAUCCCUCCAGAUGUCUGGUCUGUCAACAGCAUAUAUAGGGGGGAGGGUUACUUAGAAAUCCCCAUUCUGCACCUGAGGUGGUAGAACACAGAGGCCAGUGAAGAUGCUGUCUGGAGCUAGGAUAAGGGAGUUGGAGCAUGGCUCCUGACCUUUGCCCUAACAGCCGCCCCACACCAUCUCCUCCCCCACGCCUGCGCUUGGGCUACUUCCGGGGCCUUCCGCCAUCCUGCAAGGCCAGCUUAAGACCCAGCACUCCCUCACCUGCAGUCUUCCCUGGCCAUCCGGGUCACAUCUCUACCUGCUCUGGACAGGCAUGACGCUGGAUUUCUUGGGCCAUGUGAAGGGAGGACAGUGCCGCUCUCCUGGAGAGGCUUUCGUCCGUAUGCUGAUGGCUCGAGUAGAAAUGAGAGAUGAUGCUGAGCCUGUCUAUGCUGAUGAGGACGUGCAGGGAGAGAAGGGAAGCAGAGGGCUCGUUCAAAAUAGCGGACAAGAAAUGCUUGAAGCAAGAACCUCAAAACUGGGGGCUCUAGUCCUUGUAUAAAACGUGGAAGCAAAAUCCUAAUUAUAACGGACCAUUGUGAUCCCGUUCUGUGGUUCUGCAAAAUGUUACUAUUGGGGAAACCAGGCGAAGGGUAUCUGGGUCUGCCUGUAUGUGUUAAUACAGCUUCGUCUGCAUCUGUACCCCUUCUAAUAACACAUUAAAACAAAGGAAGCCGC